UACGAAGGGGGCUAGCGUUGUUCGGAAUUACUGGGCGUAAAGCGCGUGUAGGCGGGUCUUUAAGUCAGGGGUGAAAUGCCAGGGCUCAACCUUGGAACUGCCUUUGAUACUGGAGACCUUGAGUCCGGGAGAGGUGAGUGGAAUUGCGAGUGUAGAGGUGAAAUUCGUAGAUAUCGCAAGAACACCAGUGGCGAAGGCGGCUCACUGGCCCGGUACUGACGCUGAGGUGCGAAAGCGUGGGGAGCAAACAGGG
rnacentral:rRNA from 1 species